rnacentral:rRNA from 1 species
GAGCAACGCCGCGUGAGGGAUGAAGGCCUCUGGGCUGUAAACCUCUUUUCUCAAGGAAGAAGACCUGACGGCACUUGAGGAAUAAGCCACGGCUAAUUCCGUGCCAGCAGCCGCGGUAAUACGGGAGUGGCAAGCGUUAUCCGGAAUUAUUGGGCGUAAAGCGUCCGCAGGCGGCCCUGUAAGUCUGUCGUUAAAGCGUGGAGCUUAACUCCAUUUAAGCGAUGGAAACUACAGGGCUUGAGUGUGGUAGGGGCAGAGGGAAUUCCCGGUGUAGCGGUGAAAUGCGUAGAUAUCGGGAAGAACACCAGUGGCGAAGGCGCUCUGCUGGGCCAUAACUGACGCUCAUGGACGAAAGCCAGGGGAGCGAAAGGGAUUAGAUACCCCUGUAGUCCUGGCCGUAAACGAUGAACACUAGGUGUCGGGGGAAUCGACCCCCUCGGUGUCGUAGCCAACGCGUUAAGUGUUCCGCCUGGGGAGUACGCACGCAAGUGUGAAACUCAAAGGAAUUGACGGGGGCCCGCACAAGCGGUGGAGUAUGUGGUUUAAUUCGAUGCAACGCGAAGAACCUUACCAGGGUUUGACAUCCUGCGAACCCCCUGGAGACGGGGGGGUGCCUUCGGGAACGCAGUGACAGGUGGUGCAUGGCUGUCGUCAGCUCGUGUCGUGAGAUGUUGGGUUAAGUCCCGCAACGAGCGCAACCCACGUCGUUAGUUGCCAGCAUUCAGUUGGGCACUCUAGCGAGACCGCCGGUGAUAAACCGGAGGAAGGUGUGGAUGACGUCAAGUCAUCAUGCCCCUUACAUCCUGGGCUACACACGUACUACAAUGCUACGGACAAAGGGCCGCAAGCUCGCGAGAGUUAGCGAAUCCCAUAAACCGUGGCUCAGUUCAGAUCGUAGGCUGCAACUCGCCUACGUGAAGGAGGAGUCGCUAGUAAUCGCAGGUCAGCAUACUGCGGUGAAUACGUUCCCGGGCCUUGUACACACCGCCCGUCACACCAUGGAAGUUGGCCACGCCCGAAGUCGUUACUCCAACCCUUGUGGAGGAGGACGCCGAAGGUGGGGCUGAUGACUGGGGUGAAGUCGUAACAAGGUAGCCGUACCGGAAGGUG